AUUUUUAUCCGAUCUCCGAGCAACAUGACGAUAAAAGACCGGUAUUUCCUGGAGGACGUGAGACGAGUCUCCUUCAGUAAGAAGUACAAGAUAAUGUCCCCUGUGGGUUCUGACGGGUGCCCAGCAGUCUCCUGUCACUCAGAUACAGUUCUGUAGUCAAAAGAGCGCUGAAGCCUACAACAAGAUCAAAGAAAGUUUCAAGAGGAUAAAGAAGACUGAUUCCACUGUUUCGAAAAAGGACUCGUCAGCAGAGUUUGAAGUACAAGUAUUCAAUAAUACUGAGGUUACAGUCUACCUUGAGAUUACGCAAGAUUAUGUCAAACUCAAAUUCCCGACUGAGACGAAUCUGAUCCCGGUUAGUCAGAUAUUCCGAGUAACACGAAAUAAAGACUCUAUCUCUCUGGAUGCUCUAGUAGCUAAUGGACAGGUGAAGCCGUACGUUUUCAAGACGAGUCAAGGGUCCUCAAUCUGUGACAGAAUCCUAACCUCCUUUGAGCGGAUGUCGCUGCAUAAACCUAAGAAACACCUUCGACCUGGCUCACGUGACAGCUCAGUUACGUCUGAUGAGGAGAGCAGUAUUUGUCUCUCCAGCCCUGAGUAUCAGUUCAUGUCUAGUGACGACGAGGAAGGAAUUUGAGCAAUACCUAUGACGUCAUCAACCGAACUAUGACGUCACUAAACAUGAUAUAAACUACGAGCUGGUUCUCUGAUACGUCAUUACAAACUGAUAACAUUUUUGUGCCCGUAUUUGUAGACUUAAGUUACUUCUUAGGGGUACUCUCCCCCAACCCCCUACUUAGCGGUUUGUUUUCAAAACACUGGGCUCAGAAAGGGGUCCGGGACUCUACGGCCUUAGACUUGACGGUGGGAAAUUUGACGGUGCAAAAACUAGGGUUAGGUUUAGGUUGAGAUAAAAUUCUCAUUCCCAAACCCUAACCCUAACUCUAACUUUAAACCCUAACCAUAUCAUAACCAAAAUGCUAACCCAUAAACCUCAACCCUAACCCUAACUUUUUUGUGCCAAAAAAUCUGCCGCUGUAGAGUCUCGCACCGUAGAGUCCGGACUCCUUACAAAGCCUAGAUAAGGAGGACUGUUUUUGAUUGUUUCGUUAGAAGUUGAAGUGCAGUUUAUGAGUUUGGAAUUGAAGACCAUGAUGUUUCAUUUUGCUGAAAAUGUAUAUGUGAAUGAUUAGGUUUGUUUACCUUUGUGGUUGUUUAUGUUUGUGGUUAUAAAUUAGUUGUUUGGAGGAAUGAACUUUGUUAGUGUAGAACUUAGGACGUA